rnacentral:rRNA from 1 species
GAUGAACGCUGACAGAAUGCUUAACACAUGCAAGUCAACUUGAAUUUGGGUUUUUAACUUAGGUUUGGGUGGCGGACGGGUGAGUAACGCGUAAAGAACUUGCCUCACAGCUAGGGACAACAUUUGGAAACGAAUGCUAAUACCUAAUAUUAUGAUAAUAGGGCAUCCUAUAAUUAUGAAAGCUAUAAGCGCUGUGAGAGAGCUUUGCGUCCCAUUAGCUAGUUGGAGAGGUAACGGCUCACCAAGGCGAUGAUGGGUAGCCGGCCUGAGAGGGUGAUCGGCCACAAGGGGACUGAGACACGGCCCUUACUCCUACGGGAGGCAGCAGUGGGGAAUAUUGGACAAUGGACCAAGAGUCUGAUCCAGCAAUUCUGUGUGCACGAUGAAGUUUUUCGGAAUGUAAAGUGCUUUCAGUUGGGAAGAAAGAAAUGACGGUACCAACAGAAGAAGUGACGGCUAAGUACGUG